AUGUCCCAGCCUGCGGGGACAGCCAGCCUCCUCUUAUGGACAGGAGUCAUGCCAGCUAAUGUGUGGGCUGCAGAUAUGAAAAUCUACAAGACUGGAAUUAGAAACCAGGUGGUGGCUGUGGCUUGGCAAAGGUUGGGACAGGAGCGAGAUCUCCAAUUCCCUUGGCACUGACAAGAGAAACACCCAAAAGAAGUAUGUUAAUACAGGUCUGUGCCACUACUCAGCAUGCAGUGGUGUGCCUGGGUGACAGGGGUGGCUGGAGGUGGGAAGGGUUGACCAGGAACACUGAGAAGGCUGGGACUAAAGAUGGAUAAACGAGGAUGUGCUGAUCUGCCAGCUUCUCCCCAGCACCUGCUGGACACCAAACCAGUCCUCUAUAAACAUAAGCCUUCCUCUGUGUAAAUAUUGUUUACUUCAAUCUAUCCUGAGGUAGAAAGAAUUUAUUUAUUUAUUUAUUUAUUUAUUUAUUUAUUUAUUUAUUUUUCAUGAUUGAAAGCAUGAUAUUUUCCAUGUAAACAGAAGAGGAGCAAAUCAUGGAGGGAAGAGAAGGGAGUGAAGCUGUAAUAAAUAAAUAAAUAAAUAAAUAAAAACUUUGUAC
rnacentral:lncRNA from 1 species